GUGAAUCAUCGAAUCUUUGAACGCAAAUUGCACUCUCUUCGGAGAGUAUGCCUGUUUGAGGGUCAGCCUAAAAAAAAUCGACGUAGUCGCUGUUUUGCGGUGACAUUCGUCGGUAAUUGGGUCAUCUUAAACCUUUGGGUUUUUUAAGCGGCUUAAAAUUUUCUUUACGAUUCAACGAACGUUUCUAAGUUUUACAUCUUAUACGUUUAAGGUAUUGAUCUUUAUUUUACGUUGCCGUUGCAUCGGAUGACG
rnacentral:misc_RNA from 1 species